UGAGAAUGUUUGAUUUUGAUGAUACAUCAUCAUGUCAUGUCAUAUGCAUCUUAGUGGACUGUGUGAGAAUAUUUUAUUUUGAUAAUGCACCAUCAUGUCAUGGCAUAUGCAUCUUUGUGGAAGUUGCUUUUGUGGCAGGUUUUCCCCUAUUGGUAUGGGUGAUUUUCUGUGUGGAAGUUGCCUUUGUGGCAGGUUUAUUUUCCCCAUGGGUAUGGGUGAUUUUCUGUGUGAAAGUUGCCUUAGUGGCAUGUAUUAUAUCUGAAUCAUAUAGUUAUUAGGAGCAUGCAUAACAUUGCAUCGUCUUUUGAUUGUUUGGUUGUG
rnacentral:lncRNA from 1 species